rnacentral:piRNA from 1 species
CCUAAGUCUUUCGCUCCUAUCUGACG